GGUUGCGAUCAUACCAGCACUAAUGCACCGGAUCCCAUCAGAACUCCGCAGUUAAGCGUGCUUGGGCGAGAGUAGUACUAGGAUGUGUGACCCCCUGGGAAGUCCUCGUGUUGCAACCCC
rnacentral:rRNA from 1 species